GGAAUAUUGGACAAUGGGGGCAACCCUGAUCCAGCAAUGCCGCGUGUGUGAAGAAGGCCUGCGGGUUGUAAAGCACUUUCAGUGGGGAAGAAAAAAUCGGAGCCAAUACCUCCGAUCUUGACGUUACCCAUAGAAGAAGCACCGGCUAACUCCGUGCCAGCAGCAGCGGUAAUACGGAGGGUGCAAGCGUUAAUCGGAAUUACUGGGCGUAAAGCGCACGUAGGUGGCCGAGUCAGUCGAUUGUGAAAGCCCUGGGCUUAACCUGGGAAUUGCAGUCGAUACUACUUGGCUAGAGUAUGGGAGAGGGCAGUGGAAUUCCCGGUGUAGCGGUGAAAUGCGUAGAUAUCGGGAGGAACAUCAGUGGCGAAGGCGGCUGCCUGGCCCAAUACUGACACUCAGGUGCGACAGCGUGGGGAGCAAAC
rnacentral:rRNA from 1 species